AAAAGCUGCUCAUAAAAAUGGAUUACCUGCCUUUUUAAAUCUUAUCUGAAAUGCAUUUCCUCGAGCCCAGAUAUCAGCUCUGCAGUAGAGACUCAUAAUGAACAGACGGAGCCUGUAUACCGAUUAAAUUCAGAAUAUAUCUGCACAGACAUAAAUGGUACAUGUGAAGACGGGGAAAACGAGGAAAUUCUUCUACAAUAUUUUCCUUCUCAAUUUUAUUUUAUUACCUGUCAAAUAAAUUCAGAUAAAACAGAUUAUUCGAUCCUUCCGUAAAAGCGGAACAAAAUAAAAAAGAUCAAUAAUGACGACUGUACUAAAAGCUAGUUGCUGUUUUGUUUUUUUUUAUCUUGCAGAGUGAUUGAUUGUGUUUGUGUGUGAAAUACCGAGGCGCAAAGCUCCUCGAGUCGCCAUUGGUUGCUGUUUGCACACCAGCCAAUCCAGAAGAGGCAUUUAUUUUCCUUGGCGCUGAUUGGGUGAACCUCGUCCUCCAAAACGCGGAAAUAAAGAAGACGGUAGCCGUUAGCUUCUGCGGUUACGGUUUCUACAAACACACUACGAUGUUCGUGGACGGCUGUAGCCCCGAACACCAUUAAUACUAACGGUCCACUGUAGCUGUUUCCGCCGGAGCGCCGCCUCGCAGAGAGGGAGGAAGGAGGAUAAUCACGGAGUGAAGUGGAUGUCGGCAGGUUAGCGUGGAGGAAGAGAAGACGACUUGAAAAGUCUGUGGUGGGAAAAAUGCAUAAACAAAGGAGGCAUCCGCCAUCUUUAAUGAGGCGUUGAAAGUAUGGGUGGAAAACGAUGAAAUGGAAACAUUUUAAUUAGACAACAUCUGGAGUUUUAAGAGACACUCGAGUGUACGAGCAAUUCCCCAUCCAGAUGGAUUCUCAUAAGGAAUAUUAAUUUAUUAAUUUUCUUUACCUGCAUGAGCCUCGCAUCCCAGAAAAAUGGAGACAGAAAAUGGAGGUUUUGUUCCUCUGGUAAGGCAAAGGCCCUGCCAGUGGUUGGGAAAGUAUUUAGAUGUGUACUUAACAAACAAAACGUUAAUGGAAACAAGAGACGCACAAACCUGAACACAGUCAUACCUGACGGCAAUUUAGAGACUAGUAAGCUGCAAGGCAACAUUAGUUAUGUUUCCAUUAACUAAAGAAUUGCACAAAUUGGAAUUACAAAAAUAAAUUUGCUUCUUUGUCGUUUCCGCCAGUAGCAACAUUCGGUUGUUGAUCAUGCGACUCGUGAUGCGAAAAAAGUGUUUCCAUUGCAGGUUUGAGAAAUAAACCAAUUAAGAUAUAGU